UGGUCAAGAUCAUGCGACAGUGGCGCGUGGGGGCACUCGAUCCUUAGGGCUGUGGCUUGGGUUGAUUGCUGUCGGAGUGGGCCCCUGCCGCCAUGGCCCUGUUCAUGAUCUGAACCUCCACACUGUUCUUGGUGCUCUUCAUGCUUCUGCAGCCAAUGAUGAUGGCAUGGCACCUUUAAAUUCUGACCAUCAGGCAUCGGACAGCCUUCUCGACUCGAUCACUCGGCCAAGAACAAUAAGAUGCUGAAGUAAAGAUGAGCUUAGUUAGAACGAACUCCUUUGCCUUCUUGCUUUGACAAUGCAAAGGGCAAAUAUUCUUAUCCAGCAGUGCAGAUAUGUUGUAUUGGAUGAGCCACUUUGCACUGAUGAAAACUGGAGCCACCCACCUUCAACGCAGACAUGAUUGAAGGAGGCAGACCUCCGAGUUGGGUCCACCGGUGGAUGAUGCAGAUUCUUCGACACUGUUGCUGAAGUGGUGAAUGCACAG
rnacentral:lncRNA from 1 species